rnacentral:rRNA from 1 species
GAUCUGUCCCUAGUACGAGAGGACCGGGAUGGACGUAUCUCUGGUGGACCUGUUGUGGCGCCAGCCGCAUAGCAGGGUAGCUAUAUACGGACGGGAUAACCGCUGAAGGCAUCUAAGCGGGAAACCCACCUGAAAACGAGUAUUCCCUAUCAGAGCCGUGGAAGACCACCACGUUGAUAGGCCGGGUGUGGAAGUGCGGCAACGCAUGCAGCUUACCGGUACUAAUAGCUCGAUCGACUUGAUCACUCCCAUUU